UAAUAAGAAUAACUCGGAGAUAUUUUAUAUAACAAUAUUUCGAAAAUAUCGCCAAGUCAGUGGAUUAAUUAAGGCUAUCAAUUGCAUGUGCGAGAGCUGCAAUUUGUAAUUCCGAGUAUUAAAACAUCAAGAUAGGUACGCGGGAUUUUCCAUACACACUGUAAAUUACAAGAAUGUAAUGAGUAAAUAUUUGUUGACUUCUGGAUUUGCGCUCAGUCGACGCGCAAAGGGUGUACACCCGCAAAAGCUGAUUUGAAGCCUGCUGCUGUGUGCGAAUCAUCGUCAUCGUCGCGGACCGGCCGUCUAUAAUUGAUUUGAUUGCUACAUAUGCAACACGGUGCGAGUUCAAAGCGAUCGGACACAGGAAUGUGCGAUUCACACAUCAGAGGAGAAGGAAGUCGCCGAUUGUCGCCGGAGCGAAGAACGCGACGCGACCGCGUAAUAAGCCUCCUCUAAUCAGUGUUAAGUAAUUGAAGUUAAGCCGAGUCAAAUGUUAAUUAGUAAUUAUCCCGACUACCCACGCUGAUCUCUCUGUUGUUCCGAAUUGUUGUUGUACAUUAUAACGAUUAACGAUAACGAGGGAGAUUAAAAAACCAACUCGAUACCGAGCGAUAGUCAGUAACUUAACUGGUUGUAAGUUCCGUUAUUAUAUAUCUAUUUAUUUAAAAAUAUACACAUGUUGUGCACGUCAGUUCCAGAUUAAAUUUAUCGACUCACAAGUGUUUCGAGCACUAAGUAACUCAAAGAAGUUACGACCUGAAUAAAAAGAUCACGAUACGAAUAAAUAAUUCAUCACUUUUAUCGCAUAACCGGGCUUAUCAACUCUCUUUGCAAUACUGCCUCUUAUCACCAACUGGAGAGUGUAUGUAAUGUAAUCGUCUUUAUUAUCUAUAUAUGUGUGAGAAAUGUUUGUAUUCCCGGCAAAGCAGUUGUGUUAAUUACGUUUUCCGGCUAUUCAAAUAGUCGCAGACCGCGUAAUUACUUGCACGUGUCUAAAGUCGAA